rnacentral:rRNA from 1 species
AGAGGCGAACUCGGGGAACUGAAACAUCUAAGUACCCGAAGGAAAAGAAAUCAAAAGAGAUUCUCCAAGUAGCGGCGAGCGAACGGGGAAGAGCCUGGUGUGAUUUAUAGUGCAAUGAAGUAGAACAACUUGGGAAGGUUGGCCAUAGAGGGUGAAAGCCCCGUAUAUAUAGGUUGCAUUAAGAACUAAGCACGCGAAGAAGUAGGCCGGGACACGUGUAAUCCUGGUUGAAUAUGGGUGGACCAUCAUCCAAGGCUAAAUACUACUUACUGACCGAUAGUGAACCAGUACCGUGAGGGAAAGGCGAAAAGAACCCCGGAGAGGGGAGUGAAAUAGAACCUGAAACCGUUUGCGUACAAGCAGUGGGAGCACCUUCGUGGUGUGACUGCGUACCUUUUGUAUAAUGGGUCAGCGAGUUACUUUCAGUGGCGAGGUUAACUGAAUAAGGAAGCCGUAGAGAAAUCGAGUCUGAAUAGGGCGCGAGUCGCUGUGAGUAGACCCGAAACCGGGCGAUCUAGUCAUGUGCAGGAUGAAGGUUGGGUAACACCAACUGGAGGUCCGAACCGGGUAAUGUUGAAAAAUUAUCGGAUGACGUGUGACUAGGAGUGAAAGGCUAAUCAAGCCCGGAGAUAGCUGGUUCUCCCCGAAAGCUAUUUAGGUAGCGCCUCGUGAAUGAUUACUGGGGGUAGAGCACUGUUUCGGCUAGGGGGCUGUCAUGGCUUACCAAACCGAUGCAAACUCCGAAUACCGGCUAAUUGAAUCACGGGAGACACACGGCGGGUGCUAACGUCCGUCGUGAAGAGGGAAACAACCCAGACCGCCAGCUAAGGUCCCAAAGUACUAGUUAAGUGGGAAACGAUGUGGGAAGGCAUAGACAGCCAGGAGGUUGGCUUAGAAGCAGCCACCCUUUAAAGAAAGCGUAAUAGCUCACUGGUCGAGUCGGCCUGCGCGGAAGAUGUAACGGGGCUAAAACUAGUCACCGAAGCUGCGGAUGUGUACUAAGUACACGUGGUAGGGGAGCGUUCUGUAGGCUGAUGAAGGUGGAUUGAGAAGUCUGCUGGAGGUAUCAGAAGUGCGAAUGCUGACAUGAGUAACGAUAAUGAGGGUGAAAAGCCCUCACGCCGGAAGUCCCAGGUUUCCUGCACGACGUUAAUCGGAGCAGGGUGAGUCGGCCCCUAAGGCGAGGCUGAAGAGCGUAGUCGAUGGGAACCAGGUUAAUAUUCCUGGACUUUUUAUAAGUGGUGAAGUGGGGACGAAGAAGGCUAGGUGAGCCAGGCGUUGGUUGUCCUGGUAUGUGCAUGUAGGGGGGUAGA